rnacentral:lncRNA from 1 species
CUGUGCUUCUAAAUUAGGAGCAUGGCACACCAUGCUCCUGAGAAUUCCCAGAAGUCAGAACACUGAAUUCUGAGGUGACAUGAAUAACCUGCAGCUGGAUUGUCUUCAUGGCUCCUUCCUUGUGCUCCUUUUGCAUAGAGACCCUGGUGACAAGAGAGCUCACUGUCCAAUCUGAGGCCUUUGUGUAACCAGCUCUGACUGUAGCUGCAGCAGGAUCUCCAUGCAUGCCAGGGAACCAGUCUGGGUUCUGAAGUUUGGCCUUGAUUCCUUGAUUUGUCUUAGCAUCUCUCCUGGAGCUAUGAUGGCUAUUGGUUUGUUACUGAUGCUACAGGAGCUUUCCAGGGACUCAGCAGGGAACAUUGAGAAAUAGAGGGAAGAAAUGGUGUAAGAGCCAGAGGAUGAGAAGCCUGCAGUGAAAUAGAGCUUCCUAUAUAUGACAGGGAAGCUGCACCAAUGAGAACGUUACAGUGGCUGCCUGACCAACACCUGAACAAUGGCAACACCAAGUGACUUGCCAAUGUGGAUUUAGGAAAUCGCAUGGACCUCUACCCCAA